rnacentral:rRNA from 1 species
UUGAUGUCUACAAAUAAUAUAAAAACAGAAAUUUAUGGAGGUACAGCAAGGCAAUUCCCAACAAAUUUAAGGUAAAACAAAAAUUCUUUUCUUGUUUUAUAUUUUUAUUAUUAUUUUUAUAAUAAUAAAAAUUCUAUUUAUAAGAUAAAAUAAUUUAUAUUAAAUUAACAGACACAAUAAGUAGCCUUAUCUGCGUUCAGGUUGCGGGGAUCUAGAAAAUCUUACCUUUGGAAGCGAAUCUCGGAAUUACAUAAAUUGAUGGUAGAUAUUCAGACUGCUCAUGCUAAGUUGGGCAGUCAAGACGGAAACAGCCGAGAACACUGAUCAAGGUCCCAAAUGAUUGUUAAGUGAAAUUAAGGACGUAGCAAUAUCGAAUACAGCUGUGAAGUGAGCCUGGCAGUCGCUACUUAUAAUGAUCGUAUGUAACAACGCAUCAGCAGUCUAGAUAGUAGCGCCGAAAAUUUAACGGGUCUUAAACAAUCAACCGAUAUCGUGUUGGUUAAUAAUAAUAAAUUUGUUAUUAAUCUAGGUAGUAGAACAUUCAGUAAAACUUUAAAUCAAAUAGUGUUUCAUUAUUUUGUAGGAUACUGAAGAGAGAAUGCUGACAUGAGUAACGUAAAAAGAAGUUAUAAUACUUCUCGCCGAAUACGAAAGGGUUGCAAAUAGGAAAGGUUAAUCCGUUUUGUUUUAAUGCGGCCUCUAAGGGAUGUAGCUAAAGCUACUACUGAUGAGUCUAUAAUAGAAAGUCUAAUAUUUAAAAAAUAGACCAGGAAAUUAAUAUUAUAUUACUACCGUACCCUAAACCGACACAGGUUCGUAGGUAGAGAAUACUAAGGCGUAGAGCUAAAAGUUGUUAAGGAACUCGGCAAGAUCUCCUCCUAAGUUUGACGACAAGAGGGACCGUUAUAAGCUAGUUUAUUUAUAUUCUUUGCGUAGCUUUUUAAAUUAAUUUAAAUUAAUAUUGACUUGCUAUGCUACCAUAAAAAAAUAACUUAUAAUGGUGACACAAAAUCGGAGGCCACGACUGUUUACUAAAAACACAACACAGUGCAAUCAUUAAUAUGAUAGUAUACUGUGUGAAAUUUGCCCGAUGCCAUUAAUAUAAGAGCGAUCAUGGUUUUCUGUGAUUAAUCGAAAAUCUGGUUAAUAGCGGUCUUAACUAUGAGGAUCCUAAGGUAGCAAAAUAAAUUGGCCUUUAAAUGAGGUCCGGUAUCAAUAAUGUAACGAUGGUCUCACUGUCUCUACAACUUGCUCAGUGAAAUUGAAUUACGCGUGCAGAUGCGCGUUGCCUUCAGGGGGACGGGAAGACCCUAUGCAGCUUCUACUGUAGUUAGUUAUCAUAUAAAUCUAGAACAAUCAAAAUUAAUAGUGAAUAGGUAAGUCGAUAGACAAAUAGUGGAAACCUUAAAAUUCUGAUUGGGUUUAUGUUUACCUUAAAUUUAAUAAAAAAAGGGAUAGUUUACUAAUUGGCAGUUUGACUGGGGCGGUCGUCUUUAAUAGAGUAGCAAAGUACAUCCAAAUAUUUCAUUUAAAACUAAAAAUUUAUUGUUUUAUAAAUUUUAUUACAAAAAACUUUAUUUUAGUAUAAUUUAAAGUAAUAAUUAAUUUUAAUUAAUUAACAUUCUAAAUUUUUCUUUCUAAUCAUUAAUUUUAUAAGGUAUAGCUAGAAAUUGAAUGGAGAUCAAUCAACCAGUGAAGGGUUGCGCAGAGUUCAAUGGCGAUAAGCAUGCUUAACUGAAAGACCUAAAAGUCGCACAGAUACGUAAGUAGGGCAUAGUGACCCCUCGCUAUAAUAUGGGAUAGACGGGGAUCAAUUGAUAAAAGUUACGCUAGGGAUAA